AAAGGGGACAUACAUGAGAUGAUUUAUUGCUGCGGCUGGUGUCUAAAAUCUGAGUGUUUUAAUUUUGAUGGAGCAAUGCAGAAUAGAGCAAGCCAUGAUGCUGCUCCGAUUAACCCAGGUGUGAAAAACUCCAAUUAUUGUCUCCCGUCAUAUACUGCUUACAAGAACUAUGAUUAUUCGGAACCUGGAAGAAACAAUGAACAGCCAGGCCUGUGUGGCCUAAGUAACUUGGGAAACACAUGUUUCAUGAACUCAGCCAUUCAGUGUUUGAGCAACACACCUCCACUUACUGAAUAUUUCCUCAAUGAUAAGUACCAAGAAGAGCUGAAUUUUGACAAUCCCUUAGGAAUGAGAGGUGAAAUAGCUAAAUCAUAUGCUGAACUCAUCAAGCAGAUGUGGUCUGGAAAGUUUAGCUAUGUCACUCCAAGAGCAUUUAAGACACAAGUAGGACGUUUUGCACCUCAGUUCUCUGGAUAUCAACAGCAAGACUGCCAAGAACUACUAGCUUUCCUAUUAGAUGGAUUACAUGAGGAUUUGAAUAGAAUUAGGAAAAAACCAUAUAUCCAGUUAAAAGAUGCUGAUGGGAGGCCAGACAAGGUGGUUGCUGAAGAAGCCUGGGAAAACCAUUUAAAAAGAAAUGAUUCUAUCAUAGUAGAUAUAUUUCAUGGCCUUUUCAAGUCUACGUUAGUGUGUCCUGAGUGUGCUAAGAUC
rnacentral:lncRNA from 1 species